rnacentral:rRNA from 1 species
GUGAGGGAAAGUUGCAAAGCACUUUGAAGAGAGAGUUAAAGAGGACGUGAAACCGGUAAGGUGGAAACGGAUAGAGCUAGCGUAUCUAGCUUGUAUUCAGCCGCUCUGGUUUGGGUGCCCUGUUUGCUGGUCCGGAUUCGGCCAGUGGGCGGGUGUCUCCCGGGCUUUGGUGGUGCAUUUGCAAGUGGAGUGCGCUGAGGCCUGUGGGGCAGCGGUUGGAAGUGCGCUUUGAGGAUACCCUUUGGGGUAAAACCCGGGCGUACCUAAGACUGUUUGCCCUGCUUGUACAUGAGCGUGGCCUACGGGUUUGGCUGGGGCUGAGCUGGUCGCCGGUUACGGUCGCAUGCGACACGUGCUGGUGGUUGGUUUGGUUUCGGUUUGACUCCCUUGCUCGCCCUCGGUGUAAAAGCUAGUCAUCUAUCCGACCCGUCUUGAAACACGGACCAAGGAGUUUAGCGUAAACGCGAGUCAUUGAGUGUAAAACUCAAAGGCGCAAUGAAAGUAAAGGUAUCCCUUGCGGAGCUGAUAUGCGACCUCGGGUGCUUCGGUGCCCGGGAGCAGCAUAGCCCCGUCCUAAUUGCUUGCAAUGGGGCGGAGGUAGAGCGUUUUCGCUGAGACCCGAAAGAUGGUGAACUAUUCCUGAGCAGGAUGAAGCCAGUGGAAACACUGGUGGAAGUCCGAAGCGAUUCUGACGUGCAAAUCGAUCGUCUGACUUGGGUAUAGGGGCGAAAGACUAAU